UACGUAGGUGACAAGCGUUGUCCGGAUUUACUGGGCGUAAAGAGCGCGCAGGCGGUCGUUCAAGUCGAGUGUGAAAGCCCCCGGCUCAACUGGGGAGGGUCACUCGAUACUGAUCGACUCGAAGGCAGGAGAGGGUAGUGGAAUUCCCGGUGUAGUGGUGAAAUGCGUAGAUAUCGGGAGGAACACCAGUGGCGAAGGCGACUACCUGGCCUGUUCUUGACGCUGAGGCACGAAAGCGUGGGGAGCAAAAGGG
rnacentral:rRNA from 1 species